rnacentral:rRNA from 1 species
CACGUAGGGUGCGAGCGUUGUCAGGAAUUAUUGGGCGUAAAGGGCUCGUAGGCGGUUUGUCGCGUCGGGAGUGAAAACCUCGGGCUUAACUCGGGGCUUGCUUUCGAUACGGGCAGACUGGAGGUAUGCAGGGGAGAACGGAAUUCCUGGUGUAGCGGUGAAAUGCGCAGAUAUCAGGAGGAACACCGGUGGCGAAGGCGGUUCUCUGGGCAUGACCUGACGCUGAGGAGCGAAAGUGUGGGGAGCGAACAGG